AGGAAAAAGGACCUGUUCCCCUUUUGGAAAAGUAUCUUCUCCAGGGUGGAUUAUUAUUUGUUGGGUCGCACUGAGGCCACUAAUCCUUUAAUGUAAAGAAUGAUUAGGGCGAGUGGUGAGGAUAAAAUGAGAUUAAGAAAUAAGGCUUCUGACUUAGUUAUUAACAGUGAAAUUAUGAACAGAAUCAAUAAGACCACGCCAUAUAAUAAUGAAGCUAAGAAUAUUGAUGACUCUGCUAAGCCUUAGUUUUAUACUAAUAUAAGCUGCUACCUGUUUAAGUCAGACAAAGAUGCCCUCUCCGCCCAGUGUGAUAAGAGUAAGUCUGUCAUCUGGGCACUUGCAAAGUUGAGCCCCAGGACAGCAAGUUCAAGGCCAGUCUGGGCUGUACUGGAGUCUCUGUCUCAAAUAAACAAACAAGAAGAGGAUGCUUAUCAAGGUCAUAGAUAGGGUUGGGAUGUAGCUCAGGAUGGUACAGUGUUUGCCUUACAUGCACAAAGCGUUAAAGCCAGUGCUCAAGACUACAUGAACCACGUACUGUCGAACAUGCCUAUGAUCCAAGCACUUGGGAGGCUGAGGCUGGAAGAUCAGUUCAUCUUUGGCUUUACAAAGAGUUAAGAACUAGCUUGGAGCAUAGGAGAUCUUUCAAUGGAUAGCAAGUGACUAGAUAUCUUUAAUGGUUUUGGAAUGAAAAUUUAGAAUUGAAGCCUAUACAUUUAUGUUUCUUAGCCUAUGGUGGAAAAGAGGGCACCAAGUUUGUCAUUAUGGUAUUCGGGUCCAGUUAUAUCAUGGUAUUUGAAAACAGUGCAAGUUGUCAUUCAGUGUCUGCUCGGGUGGCUGCUGCUUUCUGAGGGACUGUUGGUGCUGGGAAAGACCAAGUAUGUCAGAAAUGCCUCAAAGGGACUCAGACCUUUAGUGCUUUAGUGGAGAGAGCAUACCUAGAACCAAAUGUCCUCUGGCAUUGACAGCAGGGCUACCAUUCCUCAACCCCAGGCCUUUAUAUACUCUGGAAAAAAAAAUCUCCAAUACAGUGUCAUUGUGAGUAUCAUCGAAACCCUUCGAGUAAGGAACAGGACCCAGAGCCUGAUGCCUGGUGAGAGUGAUCACGGGCACCAUGAAGGAAGAGCACAGUCACUUAAGGCAUGAUUGAUGGUUCUUCUUAGAAGAGUCCGCCAAACCCUGCCUUCAGAUUCAUCGCAACUAACCAAUUACAAGCUGCCAACCCUGAACCCCAUGUGUCUCUACUUCUAACUCCUUUCCUGGGGUCUGCUGCUCUACGGCUCAGAGAGAAGGUAAUUCCAUGGCUCCCAGCCAACUCUGAAAGCCUUCCUGUUUGGCAGCUGAGAAAGAGGAAGUGCCCCCCAGCACAGGGCAGCCGGGGCUCCACACCCCGGCCCGUCAGCAUGCUUGAACCUGGGUAAUUUAUACUCUGUUUCAUCGCCUCGUCCUACACACAUGAUGAAAUUUAUUUCUACUGAUAACCGGGAUUUUAGCCGUGCGGUGCUGAAGUCGGUGUGAUGAGCUGCCCCGUUUCUGUUGUUGUUGGAAUGUGUGCCGGGUUGGCCUGUGAAACUGAUGAAUGACUGCCUUGGCAGAUUCAUAAUCCAGGGUUUGGUGCAGCUGUGGAUGAAACUAAUAGCUAGCAGGGACCACUGAAGUCCCCGAGCUAAUACCUGUCUCCUCCAUCACAAAUUGAUGGCAUUAAACAAAAAAGUUGACUCUUUUCA